AUGGCGAAUUCCAUGGUGCCAACGCUGCUACAUCGCCUGGUUCUCGUGUUGCUCCUCCUGCUGCUGCCUGUCCUUAAUUCCGGGCAAGCCGAGGGCUGCGCCACGCCUGCAGCAGCAGCACGCCGCGGCACUUCGCUGAGAUCCCAAGCUGGGGCACUUCUCCACUGGAAAUCAUCCGUCAAGUACUCGUCCAAGCACCAGCUGGGAACCUGGGGAGACGAUGGCAUGUACCCGUGCAACUGGACCGGCAUCACCUGCGGGGACACUCUGUCACGCAGAGGAACCAUGGGGAAGGUCAUCACAGGAAUUUCCCUUGAUGGCGCCGGCAUUGCAGGGCGACUGGACAAACUGAGAUUCCAGUCGCUCCCUUACCUUGUCAACCUCGAUCUCAGUGACAACUACCAUCUCUCCGGUGCCAUCCCUCCAGGCAUCGGCUCUCUUUCCAUGCUUUCCACCCUCAACUUCUCUGGUGAUCAGCUCAGCGGGCACAUACCUGCAUCAUUCUGCAACCUUGGACAGCUCACAGGGAUGGACCUCUCCAGCAACAAUCUCACCGGACAAAUCCCUCCUGCUUUAGCAGGUGUGAUUGCCUUUAUGAUUUGCCGCAAGAAAGUACCUCAAAAUACUGAUGUCGUGCGCAAAAGGGAUGUGUUCUCUGUAUGGAGCUUUGAUGGCAGAAUAGCAUUUGAAGAUAUUAUCAAUGCAACUGACAAUUUCGAUAAGAAACAUUGCAUUGGAGAGGGAUCAUACGGCAGUGUUUAUAAAGCAGAACUUCAAGAUGAACAAGUGGUCGCAGUAAAGAAACUCCAUGCAGGCGAUGAAGAGGCACAUGAUGAAGAAAGAUUCCGGCAUGAGAUUCAAAUGUUAACAACAAUUCGCCAACGCAGCAUCGUCAAGCUAUAUGGAUAUUGUUCUCAUCCGCGGUUCCGGUUCCUUGUGUGCCAGUAUAUAGAGAGAGGAAAUCUAGCUUCAACCUUAAGAAAUGAAGAACUAGCAAUCCAGUUCCACUGGCAAAGGAGGACAGCUUUAAUAAGAGAUCUGGCUCAAGCCAUCGCUUACCUCCAUCAUGAUGUUCACCCACCCAUAAUUCAUCGAGACAUCACAAGCAGAAACAUCUUACUAGAUACUGAUUUCAAAGCAUUUGUCUUGGACUUCGGUAUUGCAAGAAUGUUAAAACCUGAUUCGUCAAACUGGAGUGCACUAGCAGGGACCCACGGCUACAUAGCACCUGAAUGUUCCUACACUUCCCUAAUUACAGAGAAAUGUGAUGUAUAUAGCUUUGGCGUUGUGGUGCUUGAGGUGUUGAUGGGCAAACACCCUGGAGAUUUGCAGGCUUUUCAUUCUUCACUCGAGGACCAGUUUCUACUGGAAGAAAUUUUGGACAAACGACUUCCACAACCCGAAGCUGGAGAGGAAGAAGUGAGACGGUGCAUCUCUGUGGCAUUUGAGUGCCUAACUCCUUCACCCAAAGAAAGGCCAACUAUGCUGAAAGUUUAUCGAGAUCUUUCCAUCUGA
rnacentral:rRNA from 1 species